rnacentral:rRNA from 1 species
GACGAACGCUGGCGGCGUGCUUAACACAUGCAAGUCGAACGGUAAGGCCCCUCGGGGUACACGAGUGGCGAACGGGUGAGUAACACGUGGGUGAUCUGCCCUGCACCUCGGGAUAAGCCUGGGAAACUGGGUCUAAUACCGGAUAGGACUCCGGACUGCAUGGGCUGGGGUGGAAAGCUUUUGCGGUGUGGGAUGGGCCCGCGGCCUAUCAGCUUGUUGGUGGGGUGAUGGCCUACCAAGGCGACGACGGGUAGCCGGCCUGAGAGGGUGACCGGCCACACUGGGACUGAGAUACGGCCCAGACUCCUACGGGAGGCAGCAGUGGGGAAUAUUGCACAAUGGGCGCAAGCCUGAUGCAGCGACGCCGCGUGAGGGAUGACGGCCUACGGGUUGUAAACCUCUUUCAGCAUCGACGAAGCGAAAGUGACGGUAGGUGCAGAAGAAGGACCGGCCAACUACGUGCCAGCCGCCGCCGUAA